GCGUAAAGCGCACGCAGGCGGUCUGUCAAGUCGGAUGUGAAAUCCCCGGGCUCAACCUGGGAACUGCAUUCGAAACUGGCAGGCUAGAGUCUUGUAGAGGGGGGUAGAAUUCCAGGUGUAGCGGUGAAAUGCGUAGAGAUCUGGAGGAAUACCGGUGGCGAAGGCGGCCCCCUGGACAAAGACUGACGCUCAGGUGCGAAAGCGUGGGGAGCAAACAGGAUUAGAUACCCUGGUAGUCCACGCCGUAAACGAUGUCGAUUUGGAGGUUGUGCCCUUGAGGCGUGGCUUCCGGAGCUAACGCGUUAAAUCGACCGCCUGGGGAGUACGGCCGCAAGGUUAAAACUCAAAUGAAUUGACGGGGGCCCGCACAAGCGGUGGAGCAUGUGGUUUAAUUCGAUGCAACGCGAAGAACCUUACCUGGUCUUGACAUCCACAGAACU
rnacentral:rRNA from 1 species